UACGUAGGGGGCUAGCGUUGUCCGGAUUUAUUGGGCGUAAAGAGCGUGUAGGCGGCCAGGCAGGUCUGCUGUGAAAACUCGAGGCUCAACCUCGAGACGUCGGCGGAAACCAUCUGGCUAGAGUCCGGAAGAGGAGAGUGGAAUUCCUGGUGUAGCGGUGAAAUGCGCAGAUAUCAGGAAGAACACGCGUGGCGAAGGCGGCGCUCUGGGACGGUACUGACGCUGAGACGCGAAAGCGUGGGUAGCGAACAGG
rnacentral:rRNA from 1 species